CCAAAGAUUAUGGCGGUAUCUUAAUAAGUCAGGGUGGCAUGUGUAUUUUAAUUUGAUAUUCCACGAUAAAUAUGUCAUAUUUUGAAAUUCAGUAUGUGUACUGCCGUUUUUAUAUAGUUUAGUAGAAUUAUAUAAUAUAUAUAUAUAUAUAUAUAUAUAUAUAUAUAUUCAGGUCAAAGUGCAACUAAUAAUAUGAUAUAAUAUGAGCUACAUUUAUAUAAACAUUCUAUUUAUUUUAUUGUGUAAUAUAAAUGGAAGAACUUGAUAGUAAUUUAAAUUAUUAAUUUAAAUGAAAAUAAAAAGUGAGAUAUGUACAAAUCGCCCGUCACUCCUUUUUACAGGAUAAGUCGUAACAUAGUAGAUGUAAUGGAAAUUGUAUCU
rnacentral:rRNA from 1 species